GCAGGACAGCCGACGGCAGAGGAGGAUGAGCGAGUCUGACAUCUCCGAUCGAAACACCUAAUUGAGACCGGCUGCAGAGGAGAGGAAAUGGAGAAGGAGGAAGAUGGAGGGAGACCGAAUGGAGACAAUAUUAUCUGUUGGUGGACGAAAGAAGUAGCCGGCGAAGUGGGGAGAGGAGAAAUGGCAAGAAAUUGCCCAGAGGUGGAGAAGGAGGAGAAUGAGCACGAAUUGUGUUGAAAUGGAGAUGAGAUGAGUCAGACUGUGGCACCAGCAAUGGUUUUCCUCUCACACUUUCCCAGAAGCCGGUGUGCGUCACUGAUGUAAAGCGUGUAUCAAACAGGUAGAGUCACCGUCUCCUGUUCUCUCUGAUCGAGAUACAAGUGCACAGCCAUCUCUCUUCUCUGACAACCAGCAAGAUAAAAGGAGGUAGACGCAGAACAACAACAACAACAAAAAAAAAUGAUCAAAGGCACCAACAAAUGAGAGAUUCAAUGGCUAGCAUGAGUAGAAUUCACUUAAGAGUGAGUCUUUGUUUCAGAUGCUGCAAAGAAUGCAUGUCAAGAAGAAGAAGUGUGUAUCAAGGACAGCGCUGCCAAUAGUUAGACAAUAAUGACUUUAAAUAACUUGGGUUUAAACCUGUUUAACUCCAUGGAGAAUGUAGUUAAAUAUGCA